rnacentral:sRNA from 1 species
CCUUUGUACACACCGCCCGUCGCUACUACCGAUUGAAUGGCUCAGUGAGGCGUUCGGACUGGCUCGGGGAGGUUGGCAACGACCACCCCAAGCCGGAAAGUUCGUCAAACUCGGUCAUUUAGAGGAAGUAAAAGUCGUAACAAGGUCUCCGUAGGUGAACCUGCGGAGGGAUCAUUACACAAAAAAUAUGCAGGCCAACACUGCGGCUGUGCCCUCGGGCCAGUCUGCUGAGGCUGAAGUAUUUUUCACCCAUGUCUUUUGCGCACUUGUUGUUUCCUGGGCGGGUUCGCUCGCCAUCAGGACCACACCAUAAACCUUUUUUAUGCAGUUGCAAUCAGCGUCAGUAUCACAAAUGUAUAAUCAUUUACAACUUUCAACAACGGAUCUCUUGGUUCUGGCAUCGAUGAAGAACGCAGCGAAAUGCGAUACGUAGUGUGAAUUGCAGAAUUCAGUGAAUCAUCGAAUCUUUGAACGCACAUUGCGCCCUUUGGUAUUCCAAAGGGCAUGCCUGUUCGAGCGUCAUUUGUACCCUCAAGCUUUGCUUGGUGUUGGGCGUUUUUGUCUUGUGCAGCAAGACUCGCCUUAAAACGAUUGGCAGCCGGCCUACUGGUUUCGGAGCGCAGCACAUUUUUGCGCUUGCAACCAGCACAAGAGGCCGGCACUCCAUCAAGUCCUCUUUCUCACAUUUUGACCUCGGAUCAGGUAGGGAUACCCGCUGAACUUAAGCAUAUCAUA